AUUGAACGCUGGCGGCAUGCCUUACACAUGCAAGUCGAACGGCAGCACGGGAGCAAUCCUGGUGGCGAGUGGCGAACGGGUGAGUAAAGUAUCGGAACGUGCCCAGUCGUGGGGGAUAACGUAGCGAAAGUUACGCUAAUACCGCAUACGAUCUAUGGAUGAAAGCGGGGGAUCGCAAGACCUCGCGCGAUUGGAGCGGCCGAUAUCAGAUUAGGUAGUUGGUGGGGUAAAGGCUCACCAAGCCGACGACCUGUAGCUGGUCUGAGAGGACGACCAGCCACACCGGGACUGAGACACGGCCCAGACUCCUACGGGAGGCAGCAGUGGGGAAUUUUGGACAAUGGGCGCAAGCCUGAUCCAGCCAUGCCGCGUGCAGGAUGAAGGCCUUCGGGUUGUAAACUGCUUUUGUACGGAACGAAAAGGUUUGACUUAAUACGUUGGACUCAUGACGGUACCGUAAGAAUAAGCACCGGCUAACUACGUGCCAGCAGCCGCCGUAA
rnacentral:rRNA from 1 species